GGGAAUGUGGCUUAGUGGAAGAGUGCUUGCCUAACAUGCAUGAAGCCCUGGGUUCAAUUCCUCAGUACCA
rfam:Dipodomys ordii contig_15164, whole genome shotgun sequence.